UGUUCCUCGUGUGAAUGGCUGAAAAUUGGGCCAAAGUCACAGAAGAAGAAAAAACAAACAAUGCUAAUAUGGUGGACUCGAGCAGUGAAGUUAAACUGAAAGAUGCACCGGCAUCGUUUAAAUCAAAAGUGUGGACUCAAUUCAGCUUUGAUAAUGUGG